rnacentral:rRNA from 1 species
UGAGUUUGAUCCUGGCUCAGAACGAACGCUGGCGGCAUGCCUAACACAUGCAAGUCGAACGGGAUCCAGGCUUCGGCCUGGUGAGAGUGGCGGACGGGUGAGUAACGCGUGGGAACCUGCCCAUUGGUCUGGGAUAACCGCGGGAAACUGCGGCUAAUACCGGAUGAGCCCGAGAGGGGAAAGAUUCAUCGCCGAUGGAGGGGCCCGCGUCCGAUUAGGUAGUUGGUGGGGUAAUGGCUCACCAAGGCUACGAUCCAUAGCUGGUCUGAGAGGAUGAUCAGCCACACUGGGACUGAGACACGGCCCAGACUCCUACGGGAGGCAGCAGUAAGGAAUAUUGGACAAUGGAGGAAACUCUGAUCCAGCCAUGCCGCGUGUGUGAUGAAGGCCUUCGGGUUGUAAAACACUUUUAGAUGUGACGAUGAUGACGGUAACAUCAGAAAAAGCUCCGGCUAACUUCGUGCCAGCAGCCGCGGUAAUACGAGGGGAGCGAGCGUUGUUCGGAAUCACUGGGCGUAAAGCGUGCGUAGGCGGUUUUGUAAGUCAGAAGUGAAAGCCUGGGGCUCAACCUCAGAAUUGCUUUUGAGACUGCAAAGCUAGAGUAUUGGAGAGGUUAGUGGAAUUCCGAGUGUAGAGGUGAAAUUCGCAGAUAUUCGGAGGAACACCAGUGGCGAAGGCGACUAACUGGACAAUUACUGACGCUGAGGCACGAAAGCGUGGGGAUCAAACAGGAUUAGAUACCCUGGUAGUCCACGCCGUAAACGAUGUAUGCUAGCUGUUGGAAGUCUUAGGCUUUCGGCGGCGGAGCUAACGCAUUAAGCAUACCGCCUGGGGAGUACGGUCGCAAGAUUAAAACUCAAAGGAAUUGACGGA